UACGGGGGGUGCGAGCGUUGUCCGGAAUCACUGGGCGUAAAGGGCGCGUAGGUGGUUUGAUAAGGGUGUGGUGAAAGCCCGGAGCUCAACUCCGGGUCGGCCGUCGAGACUCCUCGGCUCGAGCUCACUAGAGGCAGAUGGAAUUCCGGGUGUAGCGGUGGAAUGCGUAGAGAUCCGGAAGAACACCGGUGGCGAAGGCGGUCUGCUGGGGUGAGGCUGACGCUGAUGCGCGACAGCGUGGGGAGCAAACAGG
rnacentral:rRNA from 1 species